rnacentral:rRNA from 1 species
GAUGAACGCUGGCGGCGUGCCUAAUACAUGCAAGUCGAGCGAACAGACGAGGAGCUUGCUCCUCUGACGUUAGCGGCGGACGGGUGAGUAACACGUGGAUAACCUACCUAUAAGACUGGGAUAACUUCGGGAAACCGGAGCUAAUACCGGAUAAUAUAUUGAUCCGCAUGGUUCAAUAGUGAAAGACGGUUUUGCUGUCACUUAUAGAUGGAUCCGCGCCGCAUUAGCUAGUUGGUAAGGUAACGGCUUACCAAGGCAACGAUGCGUAGCCGACCUGAGAGGGUGAUCGGCCACACUGGAACUGAGACACGGUCCAGACUCCUACGGGAGGCAGCAGUAGGGAAUCUUCCGCAAUGGGCGAAAGCCUGACGGAGCAACGCCGCGUGAGUGAUGAAGGUCUUCGGAUCGUAAAACUCUGUUAUUAGGGAAGAACAAAUGUGUAAGUAACUGUGCACGUCUUGACGGUACCUAAUCAGAAAGCCACGGCUAACUACGUG